AAAUUGAAGAGUUUGAUCAUGGCUCAGAUUGAACGCUGGCGGCAGGCCUAACACAUGCAAGUCGAGCGGAAACGAGUUAUCUGAACCUUCGGGGAACGAUAACGGCGUCGAGCGGCGGACGGGUGAGUAAUGCCUAGGAAAUUGCCCUGAUGUGGGGGAUAACCAUUGGAAACGAUGGCUAAUACCGCAUGAUGCCUUUGGGCCAAAGAGGGGGACCUUCGGGCCUCUCGCGUCAGGAUAUGCCUAGGUGGGAUUAGCUAGUUGGUGAGGUAAGGGCUCACCAAGGCGACGAUCCCUAGCUGGUCUGAGAGGAUGAUCAGCCACACUGGAACUGAGACACGGUCCAGACUCCUACGGGAGGCAGCAGUGGGGAAUAUUGCACAAUGGGCGCAAGCCUGAUGCAGCCAUGCCGCGUGUGUGAAGAAGGCCUUCGGGUUGUAAAGCACUUUCAGUCGUGAGGAAGGUAGUGUAGUUAAUAGCACUAUCAUUUGACGUUAGCGACAGAGGAAGCACCGGCUAACUCCGUGCCAGCAGCCGCGGUAAUACGGAGGGAGCGAGCGUUAAUCGGAAUUACUGGGCGUAAAGCGCAUGCAGGUGGUUUGUUAAGUCAGAUGUGAAAGCCCGGGGCUCAACCUCGGAAUUGCAUUUGAAACUGGCAGACUAGAGUACUGUAGAGGGGGGUAGAAUUUCAGGUGUAGCGGUGAAAUGCGUAGAGAUCUGAAGGAAUACCGGUGGCGAAGGCGGCCCCCUGGACAGAUACUGACACUCAGAUGCGAAAGCGUGGGGAGCAAACAGGAUUAGAUACCCUGGUAGUCCACGCCGUAAACGAUGUCUACUUGGAGGUUGUGGCCUUGAGCCGUGGCUUUCGGAGCUAACGCGUUAAGUAGACCGCCUGGGGAGUACGGUCGCAAGAUUAAAACUCAAAUGAAUUGACGGGGGCCCGCACAAGCGGUGGAGCAUGUGGUUUAAUUCGAUGCAACGCGAAGAACCUUACCUACUCUUGACAUCCAGAGAACUUUCCAGAGAUGGAUUGGUGCCUUCGGGAACUCUGAGACAGGUGCUGCAUGGCUGUCGUCAGCUCGUGUUGUGAAAUGUUGGG
rnacentral:rRNA from 1 species